UCCUAUCCAGUUUCAUAAACCAAAUGAUCCA
rnacentral:piRNA from 1 species